rnacentral:rRNA from 1 species
AUAGCAAUAUUGGACCGGCAAACGGGUGCGUAACACGUACACAACUUUCCGUUAAGUGGGGGAUAGCCUAAAGAAAUUUGGAUUAAUACCCCAUAGUAUAUUGAUAUGGCAUCAUAUUGAUAUUAAAGCUCCGGCGCUUAAUGAUGGGUGUGCGGCUGAUUAGGUAGUUGGCGGGGUAACGGCCCACCAAGCCUACGAUCAGUAGCUGAUGUGAGAGCAUGAUCAGCCACACGGGCACUGAGACACGGGCCCGACUCCUACGGGAGGCAGCAGUAAGGAAUAUUGGUCAAUGGGCGCAAGCCUGAACCAGCCAUGCCGCGUGGAGGAUGAAGGUCCUCUGGAUUGUAAACUUCUUUUAUUUGGGACGAAAACGGGGUAUUCUUACUCUCUUGACGGUACCAGAUGAAUAAGCACCGGCUAACUCCGUGCCAGCAGCCGCGGUAAUACGGAGGGUGCAAGCGUUAUCCGGAUUCACUGGGUUUAAAGGGUGCGUAGGCGGGCAUGUAAGUCAGUGGUGAAAUCUUUGGGCUUAACCCGAAAACUGCCAUUGAUACUAUAUGUCUUGAAUAUUGUGGAGGUUAGCGGAAUAUGUCAUGUAGCGGUGAAAUGCUUAGAUAUGACAUAGAACACCAAUUGCGAAGGCAGCUGGCUACACAUAUAUUGACGCUGAGGCACGAAAGCGUGGGGAUCAAACAGGAUUAGAUACCCUGGUAGUCCACGCCCUAAACUAUGGAUACUCGACAUACGCGAUACACUGUGUGUGUCUGAGCGAAAGCAUUAAGUUCCCACC